UAUACCUGUUCGGACACAUACAACCCAACAUAACAAAUUAAAAACACAGUGCUACUAGAAUAUCAUGUCUGCAGCAAUAGAAUGUCCCAUUUAAAAUAAACUGGAUUUCACUGGAUAACAUAAAAUUUCAAGUGGUAUCUGAAAGCUAAAUUUAAAGCUACAUUUACUUUUCUGAGAUGUUUACAUAUAAGCAUAUCAACUGAUAUCAAGGUCAUUUUUACUGAAUGUAUGAUCUUGGAGGACUUCAAAACAUUACCUAUAUUGUACCGAUGUUUGAAAACCAGAAAGUGUAACGUAUUAGUAAAACUUUAAUAAUUAUUUACAUUAAAAAAAAAAUUAUUUUUGCUUUAAAUGUCUUUUUAACAUCUUACCUGUAAUUUAAACUCUAAGAAACCUUUUGUGAAAUGUUUUGCUAUUUUUAUAAUACUUUUUAGUCCCAAGAUAAUGCUGCACCUAAGAACACCAAUUUAGUUCUCAUCACUUCUUAAUUGCUUCUCAAAGAAGUUUUUAAAAACGUUUUUGACAACCACUGUAUGGACAAAAAAAAAAAUAUUCAGAAUAAAGUCUUCUUUUAUGUUCCACAGAAGAAAAUAAGUCACACAUGUUUGGAAUGACAUUACAUUGUUCUGUAAAUGAUGACAACAUUUUUAUUUUUAGUUGAAAUAUUCCACUAAUAUGUACUCACUUUAUGAAUCUUUCCUGGUUGCUCAUUAACACAAGAAUAAUAUCUUCUGUCAAAGCCAGUCAGUUUGCUCAGGCUGAUGGGCAGCAUGACUACGACCUCUAUUAAUAAAUGUGAACUGGCAGCUGCUCUUAGUUGCCAUAAGUACGCUUCAAGUAGACUUAACAAAUGUCUGAUUUGUCUGAUUGUCUGAGGUCUCGGAAGCAUUAUAUGGCUUUCCCGUUGCCAGGCCUCGCAGCGCUGCUGUUUAUCUCAGCGCUUUCUUAAAUGCUGUUUUUGGGCAUGCAUGGGUGGCUCCUCUCUGUCUACAAAAAUGAUUCAUGCCCACCAGCCAAAAACCCUGCUAUUAAUAUUUAUGUGUGUGUUGUGUUAUGAUGAGAAAUUACACUGCUCAGCUCACCCUCAUCUGUCUCAGUAGCAUUUCUGAGUAAUAUGUUAUGCUUAGACAUAAGGCAAAAGAUGCACACACACAAAUAUAAUACUACAUUAAGAUUAAUGUCAGAAAUCAACGUGUAUUCUGAUUAUUAAAGUGCUUUAUGCAGUGUUGCAUAGAACAGUAAACACAUCAUUUAAUAUCGACUUGUUUGUCAGCUCUGUUGUGGAGAGUGUAAUGUAUUGAAAUUAGCUUGAAAGUAACUUCUGCACGGAUCUGCAUCUGUAUUCAUCCAUAUAUAAAGAGGAAGUUAUGUGGAGAUGUAAGCGUAUGAGUGUGGCGACAGCAGAACUGAUUGGACUACAGUGAGUUGUAAAGAGAAUGAAUUAUAGAAUAUUCCAUUACUGAGAAGAAGUGGGGAGAUAUAAUGCUUUUAUUAGUGCUUUGUUUAUUGCUGCAGUUUGAGGGGGUAAUUUUGUUCUGUCGAUGCCUUAUUGAUUGAAAUUAUUUUCAAUCACUCUGUUCAUCACAGAGCUAUCAUAUGACUUCAGAAGGUGCUUUUUGAAAUGAUACAGCCCCAGUGUCCAUUUCUUUCAUUAUUUAGACAAUAUUUUUUAAUUUUUGUUCCCCAGAAGAAAUUCAUAUGGCUUCUUAACAACAUGAGGUUGAUGAUGACCGUUUUCAUUUUGGCUGGAACUAUCCCUUAAAGAACAUGAUAAAGAGUUAAUGAACUGGGUGUCCUGUGAAAGACCUUGUCAGUGUCAAUCCAGCUUGAAGCUACUGCAGGCAUUCUUAUUGAUUAAAAUUGCAGAGCUUUUUAAAUCCGCAUUCCCUGUCUUUGUUGUUGUUGUUGUUGUUGUUACUCUCCUGUAUUAUGACAAACCUCAAAAGACCUUCCCCUUCAGCAUAUUUAACCUAACUCAUUUUGUCUACUCUGUGCUUUCUUGUAUCCAAGUUACCGGAAUAGAUGACAAAAAAGACUAGAUAUUACAAAGAAAUAAUGAUAAUGAAAGUGAAUUAGCUCUCAGCACUAUGGGAGAGUACUGGAGCCCAAGGCGAAACACAGAGAAAUGUAUUCAUUAGUGCUCCAUCAUGCAGAUACCUUGAGCACUGCAUUGAUUCGUGUAAUACAGUGUUUGCUUUUUCAAAUUUCAGACACUCAAUAAGCCUACGGUGACCAUGCUACUUACCUGACAGGAUUAAAUAUGAUUUAAUUUAACCAUCGUCAUGCCAGAAUUCUCACAAAACAUAUUAAAAGUAUUGCGAAUUGAGGUGAUAAUGGACAUUAUAACAAUAUUAACAAAUAAAAAUAAUUGUUAAAAGGUGUUAUUUAAAGGUGUUAAUUUAUUGUUAUUUUAAUUACAUAAAAAAUGCAUGCAUGCAUUCAAAACAUUUUUUUUUAAUUAUCUGCAUUUUAGAGCUUUUCUUAGCAAAUAUUGAUAAAUGUUAGUGAUUCUCAACCUUUAGUGUCUUUCUGAUACUUCGAUAGUAUAAAAUAAUGGUCACACUUUGUUUUAAGAUCCAAUUCUCGCUAUUAACAAACCAUUAACUAUGACUUUUGCCUCAAUGAACUCCUAAUUUGCUGCUUCUUAAUAGUUAGUUGUUGAGUUUUGAGGUUUUGGGUAGGAUUAGGCAUGGAGAGUACGGUCAUGCAGAAUAUGUGCUUUAUAAGUACUAAUAAACAGCCAAUAUGUUAAUAAUAGGCAUGUUAAUAAGAAACUAAUUAAUAGUGAGAAUUGGUCUCUAUACUAAAGUGUUACCAAAAUAAUGAACUGUGAUUUAAUUUUGAUUACAGAAGAUUUAAGAACUGUUCUCUAUUUUAUACAACAGUUGUUGAGGGCACAAGUUAAAUUAGUAUGUUUCUUUUUUAAAUGCUAAACAACUUAAUUUUAAAUGAUGACUUAAAAAUUAAGUAAUCAAGUGUCCACCUAGUUGAGAAUCCAUUAUGUAUAUAUGCGAUGAAUAUGAUGCGACUGGUUAAUUGGAAUGUCAUGUUUAAAGAAUUAAAUAAUUAUUAUUUUAAAUCGAUUGACAGCCCUAUUUUUAAAAUUCCUUUUCAACUUGCCUUGCACUUUGUCACAUUUUUCCAGACUUUUUUUUUUUUUGUCCAUGAUAUUAAUUCGCUUAGUUGGUCUCAAAACAGGAAAAAAAAAAGCUGUAUUACAGGACAGAGAAAAUUUAAUAUUGUAUCCCUGGGAGAUCAUAAGAAUGUACUGGCAAGUUCAGAGACUGCUCAUGAUAUAUUGUUAAAAUCAUCCCUAGUGCCUAGGCCUUGAGCUCUCAAUUCCUGCCAAACUCAUUACUUUAUAAAAGAGGCAUUUGAGAAGCAGUCGUUUGUUUACAUUUUUGGAGGUACAUCAUGUGACCACCACAGGAGCUUUUCAGACUUAUGACAAUCUACGCAUUGAGAAUUCAGGUAGAUUACAUAUAAUCUACUUCCCGGUGAUGCCACCUGGCUUUAAUAUACUUCAAGUACCCAUGAUAGAUAACAUGUGGAGGAGUUUUCAGAGUUCUCUUGUUUACUUCUUUUUAUCUAAUGCAUGUCUGAUCUCUUAGGUGGCCCAGCAUAUGGAGACUCUCAGGAGAGACCCACCCUGAGGAGAAUUAAUAACAGACAAGGAAGCCAAUGAAGUCUGAGAGUGGUUUGCAUCAUCGUGUCCUACUGGUCCCCUGAGGACGCACGUUAAAGGGCCUAGAGAUGCGACCACACGUCAGAGCGCAACAUGAUGGCUGUCAUUCAGAAGUGAGACAAUGACUUCACUUGUGUCAUUACCCUGCUGAGAAGAAGACCUGAGACGUACCAGUGUCAACGGCACUGCCACGUUGCCAGCUUUAUCAUGGAGGAGUUCAACAGACUCCAGUAAUUGAGUUGUUUUUCAGCAUUCGCCUCAAGAAUAUCUAUAUUCCUCUCAGAAUUGCUAUUUUAUUUCUGUGCUUUAUGGGUUUCUUGUUGUUUUUGGUGUACGAAGCGAGUGAAAAAUCCAUCAGACUCGAUAGCUGACAGAUGCCACCCAACGAAAUAAAUACUAACUGGCUUUCAGUUGGCGCUGAAAUAUAGUACUUUGACGAUGGAAGUACUUUGGCUGUGUCAUUAGUAGAUGAAUGAGCUCCACAUCGCUGAUGGAAAUCAGUUCACAUUCCAACAGCUUGUGGAAAAUAUCUGCAAGGUCAAUGAUGAUAUUCAGUGUACCUCAUCUUUGCUGUUCCACAAACUUAAUUCCCCCCACUGAAAGCUCAAUGGGGUCGACAUCUUGAUGGGAAAGAGGAAGAGGCAAUGGAGGGUCAUUGCUCCUGAUAUAACACGUGAGGAACCAUCAAAAAAUGGCUACAGACUUAUUACCUUUGCACAGGCUCUCAUUUUUCUGUUCAUAACACUUAACAAGAAUCCUGGGGAGUGCCUGAAAACAUAUAAAACACUUCCACAGACGUUCACAAUCCACCUGAGAGCCCCUCACUGGGUAGAGUGGAUGUGUCAUGUUCCCCUGCCUCUGCUUUACAAGGGAACGGUUUGUUUCAGCCAGGUGGAGGUCAGAGACUAUUGCAUCAGCUUGGUAAAAACACAAGCUCAUAAGUGAAUAAAUGAGUCUGAUGAGUGAAAUAAAAGAUGAUUGCAGAACUGAAAGCACCACCCGUCUGGAGGGGCUUCCAAAAGCAGCUGCUCGGAUUGGCCGGUCUGCUUCAUUACUGUAAUUAUUUUCCCUCAAGUUUUGAAGACCUGAGGAUUUUCGACAUGUAGAGAGAGAAGGGCCAAACAAAGAUUUGGCUUAUUUUAGGACCUCUUUCAGAAAGCAAACAGCGCCGCCAUCAUGCUUUCCUGGAGUCUAUCCAUCUUUCCUGCAAGGAGACCGACACGACAGCCCCCCCAGCCCCCAAAAAAAGCCUGGUUGCGGGACAUGGCGGGUAAACAAACCUGCUCAGGGGGGCCAUUCUUUGCCCGGCACCUGCCACUAUUACUGGAGAGCAGGUGCAACUGUGUUCAUUAAGAUACACAUCAGGACACAGAAGUCCUUAAGAGCCGGUCGGGGGCACAUUUUGCGAGGCUGCCUUGCAAACACAACAUAGCAACAAGGGUUUGGACUCCAUAUAUAUCUCAGACUGAAGAUACAGAGGGCCAAUAUCAGGAAUACCACACUCAGGAUGAUGGCGGCACACUGAAGAGUGGAGCUCCCAUCGAGAGGCAUUCCAACCCAGCAGCACUCAGGACAGCAGAGGAAGGCUUUCUGAGCCAUAAAAAUAAAACAUAAACAACACUUCGGAGAACUGGGAUGACAUUAGAAGGCCAAAGAAAACAAUGCGAAACACUCAGCCAGUACAGAAGAUCAGAUCAAGGAGAUACAGUAGGGAGAGCUACCAGUUAUUACCUACUACAAAGAAAGAGGGUGAUUAACUUAUUUGUCGUUUCCAUUCAGACAAAUAAGGCAUGGCUGUGAACACUUUCUUUUCACCUAAGUUUUCACCGUGAUGCACAUUAAUAAUAUUUUUCAGAUUUAUCAAGCUUAUCAUCGCUAUUUCCACUGUUGCUUCAUGCACUGUUAUGUGAACCGCAAGCUUGUGUUGUUAAUUAAUGGGAACACAGACACAACCACGCUGUUUCUGAGAAAUCAUCAGCAACUCGCCAUCUGCAAACGCAUGUUUGUCGAUGUCACACAUUGUUAUGCUUCUCGAGAAAGUAGUUAAGAACGCUAACUUAAGUUCCUCUUUGAACUCUGUUAAUUUCAGAUUUUUCUCCAUGAAAAAAACAAAACUGUUUACUUAAACUUGAAUCGUCGCUUUCCAUGUCUGAUUGUGAAGGGAGUUUUGUUUGCUCAUGAUGAAGCUUUGCUCUCCUACUCAACAACGUGCAGCACAAGAACCUCCUCUUCUCAUCUUCUCUUUUCUAUUGCCAAGGCUGCUUCUGUCAAAGAUUCACAAAAGACACCCACUCACACUACCAAUGGAGAGCACAACGAGAGCCUGCUGUUUCUAAAGGACUUGGCUGAUGUCACCUGCUCAUGUGAUGAAGGGCAUGGAAAGGAGGAUGAAGAGCUCAUCUCUAGCCAACAAAAGUGAAACUAUUCACCGCAGAAUUCAUUUUGCUGUGUUCCUCUACCGUAUGCAGGACAGAAAAUAAGCAUAUUUCAAUCUCUUAUGUGACCAUGAAUCUUACAAGCAGUGCUAGAAAAUGAUAAAAUGGCUUUUCGGUUGGCCAAUUUAGCACACACAAGGUUGAAUAUUACAAUUUUACUUCAGAUGAGAGCAAUGAUAAAGCAAGAUUAACAAGCAUCCUUCACUAACCUAAUAAAAUAAAGGCAUUCAGAUGGAGACAGGGUCUGAAAUAAUUGCCAUUAAAGUCUAAUUGGCAUUAAAGCACAAUGAUGUUAUUAAGAGAGCUCUAUGAAUCACGUUUCUCCAUUAGAUUCCUUGAUGCUUAAGAUGAAAUGUAAGUUUGAAAGAUGAGUACAGG